rnacentral:rRNA from 1 species
GCAACGAUGAAGAACGCAGCGAAAUGCGAUACGUAUUGUGAAUUGCAGAUUUUCGUGAAUCAUCGAAUCUUUGAACGCACAUUGCACCCUCUGGUAUUCCAGAGGGCAUGCCUGUUUGAGCGUCAUUUCUCUCUCAAACCUUCGGGUUUGGUAUUGAGUGAUACUCUGUCAAGGGUUAACUUGAAAUAUUGACUUAGCAAGAGUGUACUAAUAAGCAGUCUUUCUGAAAUAAUGUAUUAGGUUCUUCCAACUCGUUAUAUCAGCUAGGCAGGUUUAGAAGUAUUUUAGGCUCGGCUUAACAACAAUAAACUAAAAGUUUGACCUCAAAUCAGGUAGGACUACCCGCUGAACUUAAGCAUA